rnacentral:lncRNA from 1 species
GUCUGUCACCACGUGAGAUGUGCUUUUCACCUUCCACCAUGAUUGUGGGGCCUCCCCAGCCACAUUGAAAUGCAUUUAUGAAGUAGGGACCUGGAAUUGAAGAGACUCCUAAAGGAGAGACAGAAGUUUGAAAGAGCAAGAAGAGUGGAUGUGGAUCCAGACAGAAAAAGAGAACAGCAAAUAUUUGAAAGAGCUUAAGACGUACUCCUCAAGGUUGAAGAACUCACUUUGGCAUUUCUUGUAAGAUGGUUCUGGUGGUACCACAGAUAGAAGCCUUGAGAAGCUUACUUUGGUCAGAAAUUUUGCCUUUGUCUGCAGGCUUCUACCAGUUCGAUUCCAUCUGUGGGUCUUAGGUUUCAGUUACCUGAAGUCAAAUGUGGUCCAAUACACAGACUGGAAUAAGAGACAUUGGAGACUCCAAAAGAAUAUUUUCUGGUAGACUGAUAUAUUUCUCCUAAAAAAUUUG